rnacentral:rRNA from 1 species
GAUGAACGCUGGCGGCGUGCUUAACACAUGCAAGUUGAACGUGAGAGGUAGCAAUAUCUUGAAAGUGGCGAACGGGUGAGUAACACGUAGGUAACCUGCCUCGGAGUGGGGAUAACAGUUAGAAAUGACUGCUAAUACCGCAUGAAUCCAUGGAUUAGGGAUAAUCGAUGGGGAAAAACUCUGGUGCUUCGAGGGGGGCCUGCGGCCGAUUAGCUAGUUGGUGGGGUAAAGGCCUACCAAGGCGACGAUCGGUAGCUGGUCUGAGAGGACGAUCAGCCACACGGGAACUGAGACACGGUCCCGACUCCUACGGGGGCAGCAGUGAGGAAUAUUGGGCAAUGGGCGGAAGCCUGACCCAGCAACGCCGCGUGGAGGAAUGAAAGGCCUUCGGGUUGGUAAACUACCUUUUGCAGGGGAAGAGGAAGGACGGUACCCGUGCGAAUAAGUCCCGGCUAACUAACGUGCCAGCAG